AAGUUUAUAAUUUUCAAUUGCAAUCUCACCAUCAAUAAUAUCGGGGUGGACACUGGAAAAUUUCAUUCAUAUUAGAAUAUUUUGUUCUUACGACAAAAUUGUUUCAUAAAUACACGUAUGUUUAAAUAAGAAUUAUAUAUGAUAUUCAACUGAAGUUGUCCUAAAAUUACACCUGCGCAAGGAGUAGUUUCCAUAUUCUUCAGAUCAGAGGAAAGAUCUCUGCUACUGUAGCUUCGUGUAUUAAAAGCUAACCCGUGUGUUUAAAACAAUGUAUUUAUGCUUGAGCGAGUUCUUGCUUCUGGUUUGGUAUGAUAUGCAGAGAAGAUUCAAGUAGCCGACGCCCAAUCGUGCCAACAAGAUCAACCGCUAAAGUUUUAUUACAAUUGUCAUGAAAAAGGACUAUGGUUAAAUGAUUGCAAUAUGCGGUAAACAAGGUAACAGAAUAAAAAAUGGUAGAAAAGAAGACAAAGUAACUAAGUACCAUUACCAACUAUCAAACAAAAGCAAAGUAUAUGGUAUAGAUAACAGAUGACUCAGAUUAACGGCUAGGUAUGGUACACAUUAUCGCAGACAAACCUAUUUGAUCAAGUCAAGCAUCUAGGAUAGUUUAUAGAACUGCACUUAUUCAACACAAGACUUUAUUUAUUGAUUUACUUUUUUAGGAAGAUACAGUACAUUUAUAGAACUAAAAAUCUCUUAUACAUCUAAGAGAUUUUAACUAAAGGACACACAAAAAAUUGACGGGUAAUUAUAAUACCUAUCUUUUUAUUUAAUUAAACAUAACAUAAAGUAACUACGACAUUACACUUAACCGGUAUGAUCAGGAUUCCUUCGGUAUUGAAGAACAAUAAGAAGAUCAAGAUUAUCAUCUAUCAUCUCAUCAUCAACAGUGCUUGGUCUAUACAAAUAUUUACCCUCCGACCAUUCGUUUCUACCUGAAAAUUUCAUAUUAAAAAAAAAAUUAACCAUAAAUGGCAUAUAUAUCAAAAUAAGAAUUAGAAAUGCCAUCCAAGUGAUGUUGGCCCAAAAACCUGCGUAAGUAGUUUCCAUAUUCUUGAAAUCAGAAAAGAUCUAUUAUGCCUCUGGUGAACCGUAAUCGAACUUAAUGAGCUUUUGCCAGUUCUUGAUACUGGUUUGAUAUAAAAACACAUGUAUAUAUAGAGAAUGAAGCUGCCCACUGUGCCUAGGUAGGUGUGAUUGGGGCUUGUUAAUGCCUGCAAUUAAUUAAUUGUAGAUAUUUAGCAUGGGUCCCGUGGCUGACUCGUUAACUAAUAAUUACAUGCAGAUGCUAAUGGGUAAAUUUCUUUUACCCUUAAUUAGGAUAACAUUUUUCAAUUUAUUCUUCUAAAGUCUAAAAAUAUUAAAAUAUAUUGUAUUAAAAUAUGUGUUAUAUUUGUG
rnacentral:lncRNA from 1 species